rnacentral:rRNA from 1 species
AAAUUGAAGAGUUUGAUCAUGGCUCAGAUUGAACGCUGGCGGCAGGCCUAACACAUGCAAGUCGAGCGGUAGCACAGAGAGCUUGCUCUCGGGUGACGAGCGGCGGACGGGUGAGUAAUGUCUGGGAAACUGCCUGAUGGAGGGGGAUAACUACUGGAAACGGUGGCUAAUACCGCAUAAUGUCGCAAGACCAAAGUGGGGGACCUUCGGGCCUCAUGCCAUCAGAUGUGCCCAGAUGGGAUUAGCUAGUAGGUGGGGUAACGGCUCACCUAGGCGACGAUCCCUAGCUGGUCUGAGAGGAUGACCAGCCACACUGGAACUGAGACACGGUCCAGACUCCUACGGGAGGCAGCAGUGGGGAAUAUUGCACAAUGGGCGCAAGCCUGAUGCAGCCAUGCCGCGUGUGUGAAGAAGGCCUUCGGGUUGUAAAGCACUUUCAGCGGGGAGGAAGGCGUUAAGGUUAAUAACCUUGGCGAUUGACGUUACCCGCAGAAGAAGCACCGGCUAACUCCGUGCCAGCAGCCGCGGUAAUACGGAGGGUGCAAGCGUUAAUCGGAAUUACUGGGCGUAAAGCGCACGCAGGCGGUCUGUCAAGUCGGAUGUGAAAUCCCCGGGCUCAACCUGGGAACUGCAUUCGAAACUGGCAGGCUAGAGUCUUGUAGAGGGGGUAGAAUUCCAGGUGUAGCGGUGAAAUGCGUAGAGAUCUGGAGGAAUACCGGUGGCGAAGGCGGCCCCUGGACAAAGACUGACGCUCAGGUGCGAAAGCGUGGGGAGCAAACAGGAUUAGAUACCCUGGUAGUCCACGCCGUAAACGAUGUCGAUUUGGAGGUUGUGCCCUUGAGGCGUGGCUUCCGGAGCUAACGCGUUAAAUCGACCGCCUGGGGAGUACGGCCGCAAGGUUAAAACUCAAAUGAAUUGACGGGGGCCCGCACAAGCGGUGGAGCAUGUGGUUUAAUUCGAUGCAACGCGAAGAACCUUACCUGGUCUUGACAUCCACAGAACUUUCCAGAGAUGGAUUGGUGCCUUCGGGAACUGUGAGACAGGUGCUGCAUGGCUGUCGUCAGCUCGUGUUGUGAAAUGUUGGGUUAAGUCCCGCAACGAGCGCAACCCUUAUCCUUUGUUGCCAGCGGUCCGGCCGGGAACUCAAAGGAGACUGCCAGUGAUAAACUGGAGGAAGGUGGGGAUGACGUCAAGUCAUCAUGGCCCUUACGACCAGGGCUACACACGUGCUACAAUGGCAUAUACAAAGAGAAGCGACCUCGCGAGAGCAAGCGGACCUCAUAAAGUAUGUCGUAGUCCGGAUUGGAGUCUGCAACUCGACUCCAUGAAGUCGGAAUCGCUAGUAAUCGUAGAUCAGAAUGCUACGGUGAAUACGUUCCCGGGCCUUGUACACACCGCCCGUCACACCAUGGGAGUGGGUUGCAAAAGAAGUAGGUAGCUUAACCUUCGGGAGGGCGCUUACCACUUUGUGAUUCAUGACUGGGGUGAAGUCGUAACAAGGUAACCGUAGGGGAACCUGCGGUUGGAUCACCUCCUUA